CCGUGCUCUGGUACUUAUGGGAGAGGGGUGGGGUCUAACACACCUGGGCUUUGGCAUCCUCAGUCCAGCGGGCUGAGGGAGAGAUUCAGUGGGCCUCUGAAGCUGAUGAAGACUUUUAUGAGCCAGCACCUGCAGGCUUGGGGUAAGUAUUUACCCCACUUGCUGUUCGUGUACUGGGCAGUGAUGGGAAAACAGCCCAGAACCAAGAGGUCAAGGACAUGCUGGCUUUAGGGACUCCUCCAGCCCUUGGGCCUCUCCUAAGGUGUUGGAUCCCAAAGAUGGAUCAAUCUGGUUUUGUGUGGACUACUGCAAGCUUAAUCCCAUCACCAAGUUUGAUACAAACCUCAUGCCUAGGCCUGAUGACCCCUUAGGCACAUUGGGGGGGGGCGGGGGGAGGUGGUGUUAUCUCACCAGCAAGUGACUUUGGAUCCAGGUGCCAGGCUGAAAUCUGCUUUUAUCAUCCCACUGGAGCUAUGAGAGUUCUUGGUCCUACCUUUUGGCCUAAACGGGGGCGGGGAGGGCAUCUACACCGUUCAAGCACAUUGUGUACCAGUUACUCAGGAGAAUGGAGAAUUUUGCCCUAAUGUAUAUUGAUAUGUGUUUUUAGCCAGAUGUGUCCCAGCUUAAAGACACGCUGGACCAGCUUCAGGAUGCAGGACUGACUGACUAUAAAAGCUAGCAAGUACAGGUGGGGAUGGUAGAGGUCUCAUACCCGAGCCACAUGGCAAGUAGCUGCCUAAAGCCAGAGCCAGCCAAUGUGGAGGUUAUCAGCAAUUGGCCUGCUCCCCCACUUAAGAAACAGGUCCAGGCCUUUACUGGAAGGGCAGGGUCCCUACCAGAGAAUCAUGCCCCACUUGAGCUCCAUAAUCACCCCCAUCACUGUCAUAUACUAAUACCACGUGUACCUCAGUUUCCAUGUACUGCACCAAUAUUUCAGUAGUAGGAAGUGAGGCUUGCUCAGGCCCUUGGGGCAAGUGAGGCUGCCCAGCACUCUGCACCUAUGCUAUGGCAGUGCCCUUUAUAACCUGAGACCCAGGAGGGGGCUGUGACUAGGUGACACCUUUUGCCCAGGAAGCAGGAUAAAGACAAGGAGGAACAACAGGAGUGGCAGAGGCAGUCUGCUUCAGGGACUGGAACAGAAGUCCAGGCCAUUGAGACCAGGCUUCCAGAAAGGCACUGAUGGACUUGGCUGAGUCACUGAUUUCUAAGAUAGCAAGCUCUGUUCUAUGCUAUGUAUGUUCCUGUCCACUAAUAAACCUUCUGUUCUACAUGUUAGCUGAGAGUCACUGUUGUCUACAGGAAUUGGGGUGCAGAGCUCUCUAGCUUCAGCAGGAGCUCCACCCAAGGGGAUGCACAGCAUGAAGCAAAGGGGAGGAGGGGGAUGUUGAGUGCACCAAGGUCACACCCAGGAAGGUCAAAGUUGUGUAAGGGGCCCUGGUGAUAAUAUGCUGAGAGAGAGGAGGCCUGCUACACCACAGUCCUGACUGACUUUGUAUAGAGUAAUUCCAGAGCCUUGGCCCAGUGACUCUGUGACAGAGACUAGUGAACAUUCUAGACUUACAGUACCCUGGCUCCAUUGAGUUAAUUGUAUUAGUUUGUGAAAGAAUCAGGCCCUCUUGGCACCUGAAGAAUUGUCUCAAGCUAGAAAAGAGCCAACAUGUUUGUCUUUUUAAUAGUUGUUUUAUAUAUAAAAGUUACUGCUAAACACAGAAUUAUGGUAUCUUUCUCACAAAAAAUGGCAACUGCAGAGAGAUUUCUGCUGUAACUUUCUUAUGACAAGCACCUCUUUCAGGAGUGAUCUGUGUAUUAAUUUGUAUCUAUGAUAGUUCUUUUCUAUGUGUAUGUUGCUUUUUUUAUUUCUGUCUUUUCUAGCAUUGUGUUUCAUAAUAAAAGCUAAUUGAGAAGUA